AUGAGGCAACAGAGAGGUAUUUGGGGAGUUUCAAUGGUGGUUGCCCUCUCUCUGUUCGCCGGUGAUUUUUCCAUUUUGGCGAAGAAAACUUCAAAUAAACCACCAUUUAUCUUUAGGGGUCGUUUGGUACUGCUGUUGUAUUGAAACUUCCGAUGAAUAAUCGGAAUUUUUUGCAGUAUGUAGGUGUACACACACAUACAUCUAUGUAUCUAUAUAUAUAUAUAUAUUCACAUACAGGAAGGAAGGGUUUAGGGUUUAAGAUCUGACCCUUUAACUGUUUCUUCUUCUUCUUCUUUUUCCUCAUCAUCAUCAUCAUCUGUGAAUCCUUGAAAAGGGUUUUCGCGAUGUUUGGAGUUGUUGUUGUUGUUAUUAUUAUUAUUAUUAUUAUGGUUGUUGUAAUGCAUGAGAGGCUAUGAUGAUUAAGGUGUCUAGAGUUCAUGGGGUUAAAGGAGCAGGGUCCGUAUCUUGGCGGGGCGACCCGGAAGGCAUUUUGGUAGUGCAACCGAGGUCUGCAGCCAUGGCGGAUGCAUUGUCUCCUUUGCUCUGAUUAUACAGAUCUGAGCCUUCAAAU